UCCCUGUUGGCUCAGAUGGUAAACCGUCUGCCUGCGAUGCAGGAGACCCAGGUUCGGUCCCUGGGUUGGGAA
rfam:TPA: Bos taurus chromosome X, whole genome shotgun sequence.